rnacentral:lncRNA from 1 species
UUCAAGACAGGGUCUCACUGUGUAGCUCUAGCUGUCCUGGAACUCACAAUGAAAACCAGACUGGCCUCAAACUUACAGAGAUCCACUUGCCUCUGCCUCCUGAGUGCUAGGACUAAAGGCCUGCUCCACCAUACAAGAUUUUUAAUCUGUGGUUAUGGGCUGCCUUUAAUCCUAGCACUCUGCUCCAGAGGUCCAGGCAGGUGGCGUUUUGUGAGUUCAAGGACAGCAUGGGCUACAUAGUGAGAACAAAAACAAAAA